GCACGUAUCGUAUAGUGGCUAUUACAUUGCCUUGCCAAGGCAGAAAUACGGGUUCGAUUCCCGUUACGUGCUCCA
rnacentral:tRNA from 1 species